UACGAAGGGGGCUAGCGUUGCUCGGAAUCACUGGGCGUAAAGCGCACGUAGGCGGAUUGUUAAGUCAGGGGUGAAAUCCUGGAGCUCAACUCCAGAACUGCCUUUGAUACUGGCGAUCUCGAGUCCGGGAGAGGUGAGUGGAACUGCGAGUGUAGAGGUGAAAUUCGUAGAUAUUCGCAAGAACACCAGUGGCGAAGGCGGCUCACUGGCCCGGUACUGACGCUGAGGUGCGAAAGCGUGGGAGCAACAGGAUUAAGAAACCCUU
rnacentral:rRNA from 1 species